UCAGGGUGAGAAGGGUGAUAAAGGAGGCAGCGGUUUUCCUGGGAGGACAGGGAACCCGGGUCGAUCUGGGAACUCGGGAAGACCGGGAGAAGAAGGAGAGGAUGGAGAUUCGGGAUAUUCUGGACACAAAGGAGGCCGAGGUCCUCCUGGAAAGAGGGAAAAAUCUGAGUGCGAACUGAU